CCUACGGGUGGCAGCAGUAGGGAAUCUUCCACAAUGGGCGAAAGCCUGAUGGAGCAACGCCGCGUGGGUGAAGAAGGUCUUCGGAUCGUAAAACCCUGUUGUUAGAGAAGAAAGUGCGUGAGAGUAACUGUUCACGUUUCGACGGUAUCUAACCAGAAAGCCACGGCUAACUACGUGCCAGCAGCCGCGGUAAUACGUAGGUGGCAAGCGUUAUCCGGAUUUAUUGGGCGUAAAGGGAACGCAGGCGGUCUUUUAAGUCUGAUGUGAAAGCCUUCGGCUUAACCGGAGUAGUGCAUUGGAAACUGGGAGACUUGAGUGCAGAAGAGGAGAGUGGAACUCCAUGUGUAGCGGUGAAAUGCGUAGAUAUAUGGAAGAACACCAGUGGCGAAAGCGGCUCUCUGGACGGCAACUGACACUGAGGCUCGAAAGUGUGGGUAUCAAACAGGAUUAGAUACCCUAGUAGUC
rnacentral:rRNA from 1 species